CGAGCAUUAGAUUAAUGUUCGGGAAUUAAGUUUAUCAUUGUUGAAUUAAUUAGUGGACGGUCAAUUUCUUGAUAGGCAGAACAUUUGGAGGGCCCGUGAUUAAAUUUUUAACCCAAACUCUUAAUUUUUAAUGGGUGGCCCAACUCCAUAAUAAAAUUCGCCAGCCCACUUCCCCAUUUAACUCUUUAGUCUAUAAUUAAUUUGUGAGGCCCAACAGCAAAAGGGUGGGAAUUAGGCCCCAAAACAAAGAAACUUGGCCCAAACCCUACCCCUUCCAUCGCUGCCUCUCUCUCCCCUUCACUUCUCAUUUCAAAAUCCCCGAAUUGGGGAAGGGAACCCUAGCCCUUAUCUCCCUCGUCCUCGGCUCCUGUUGGCGACGCAGCAUCGCCGCCUUUCUCACCAUUGUCGGUCGCUACUCCGGUCGGUGCCAUUAAUUGGCCGUCGGAGCUCGUUUCUUCUUCCUCCUUUCGGCAUCUCCUCAGUCGAGCUCCCUCCGCCGAGCUCUCUCACUCCGGCGGUGCUCCGAUAGGGAUGCGACACCUUGCGGUGGCUGUCCCACUCUCACGGCUGUAUGAACUCCCUCCGGUUCUCUUCUUCGCCCACGCUAGCCUUGGCAGCCGACAUCCAGCGGUUGUCCCACCGUCGCAGUCCAGCCGAGCAGCGGUGCCGCUCCAGGAGACUCGCCGUCACGGUCGAUGCUGUGACAGCUCCGCCCGUCGCCGUUUAGUACUCCUCCGAUGAGAAACUCGAGACCGUCGAUGUAUAGAGAUGAGUUCUCCUAACUUCCUUCUCGUAUUUUCGCUAGAAACAGUUGCUCUUUACAGCUUAAUUUAAUUGAAGAACAUGAGUCUUAUUCGUGUGUGGAUUUGGUGAUUUACGGGUCAAUGCCUUUAGUUGGAUGUUUUCAAUAGAGGUUUGUUGGAGGUGAGAGUGCAGAGUUGCAGCUGCGGCAGAGUUUACUUACCUUGGUGAUGCAAAGGUUUCUCUUUGGAAUUGAUUGGAAGUGGUGAAAGGAAAAAAGUGCGAAACUGAAAAGAGGCAUUAUGGGUUCAUAUAUAUUGGAACUGAAACCUGCAGUCUCUUGUUUUUUGUUGAGGACUUGAUGGCUGUUGUUUGUAGUACAUGGUGGGUACUCGUGGUGUUAUAAAUGGAGCUGUUCUUUUCCUGCAGCAAAUGCUCUUUUCUUAUACUACUGCAGCAACUCUAACUACCAAUUGGUGGUGUACUAGGAGAUAAGGACUCUUGUAUUCAUGUUAUUUGUUGAUUUUGCAAAUGUACAUGGUGGUGAUGCAAAGGUUUGUUGGAGGUGAGACUGCAGAGUUGCAGCUGUGGCAGGCUGCCCUUUUGGGCAAGUUUUUUCUAUUACUCUUGAAAGACUUUGGAGAGAGAUAAACUGCCACACGGGCUUGUAGCUCUCGGUCCAAUGGGCUGCUUCGGACACGGGCCGUGAAGGUGUGGCUUGGGCUCGAAAAGAGAGGCCCACGUUUACAUAUUUGUAUACCCACACAUUUGUAAACAUAGUUACUUAAGUACAUGUAAUAGUUCUUAUUAAAGCCAUCAUCUUAACUCUUAGUAUUCUCUUAUAUUAGUGUACUUUGUUUAAUUAGAGGAAUAAAAACACUAAUUCGUUUUAGUUCA